GAUGAACGCUGGCGGCGUGCUUAACACAUGCAAGUCGAACGAUGAAGCCCAGCUUGCUGGGUGGAUUAGUGGCGAACGGGUGAGUAACACGUGAGUAACCUGCCCUUAACUCUGGGAUAAGCCUGGGAAACUGGGUCUCAUACCGGAUAGGAGCGUCCACCGCAUGGUGGGUGUUGGAAAGAUUUAUCGGUUUUGGAUGGACUCGCGGCCUAUCAGCUUGUUGGUGAGGUAAUGGCUCACCAAGGCGACGACGGGUAGCCGGCCUGAGAGGGUGACCGGCCACACUGGGACUGAGACACGGCCCAGACUCCUACGGGAGGCAGCAGUGGGGAAUAUUGCACAAUGGGCGAAAGCCUGAUGCAGCGACGCCGCGUGAGGGAUGACGGCCUUCGGGUUGUAAACCUCUUUCAGUAGGGAAGAAGCGAAAGUGACGGUACCUGCAGAAGAAGCACCGGCUAACUACGUG
rnacentral:rRNA from 1 species